AUAUAAAAGUAAAUUACAUAAUUAAAAAAUAUUAUUUUAAUUAUAUUAGAAAUUAUAGUAUUCUAAAAUUAACUAUAGGAUUAAUUUUAUAAAGAUCGUUAUAAAUAUAUUGAAUUGUAAAUAUAUUCCUACAAAGUUUAACUUUCAUAUGUUGUACCCACAAAAGUCCUGAUGUCUCAAAUAUGUUCCUUUAUUUUGUUACCGUUAAAACAUUAUUUAUUUUAUAAGUGAAAUGACCUUUUUGCCAUCACAAAUAUAUCCCUUCAAAAAUCUCAAUUGUUAAUUGAAGAGGGGUUAAAAGAUCAAUUCAUCUUAUUAACUAAUUAGGAUUUAGUAUUUUAUCUAUGAUUAACUAAUUUUUUCUAACGGAUCCUAAUGGUAAGAAUAUAUUUGCAGGGACAUAUAAAAGUUGAACUUUGUAGGGAUAUAUUUACAAUUUACUAUAUUUGCAGGAACCUGUAUGAAAUUAACCUUUAUCUAUAUUAUCUAACAUUAAAAUAUUAAACUUUUAUUUAUUACAGACAAAAUAAAAGUACUUUUUUCCUCCAAAUCAGAUAACUA
rnacentral:lncRNA from 1 species